CACACCUUCUUGGUCAUAUGUGGUGAUAAUAAUGAAGAUUAUAUUUGGACCUGAAACAUCUGCUAGACUCCAGGAAAGGUGGCAUCAAUACUGGACUUGAAAGGGCCUAACUGCUGGGAGAGUCAAGUUGUGGAUCAUCAUGAAGAUUUUCA